GUCUCAAAAAAAAAAAAAAGCGUGACCUUGUUUUCUCCAUAACCCUCACGUAGGAAAAAGUAUGACCUUUUAAUACCCACAGGUCAACCUUAAGAACUAUUCUAAACUAAAGCAAGGGUCCUGUUAUAACUCACUCAAAUAUGAAGGAAGAUUGAUGUUAGUGUCUCAGGCAGUUUUGGAAUUCGGGAAAGAAUUCUAAAUUCACUUCUUCUGAUGUCACAACACUUUCCCUGUUCAUGGGAGGCCUGUUCCCUCCUUGUACAGUCAGUUUUCCAAGGGCAGGGCGUGGAGGUGAACUUCCCAGGACUGGGAGCUAGAUGAACAGUGAAGAACAAAGCUACGGGAAGCUCCAGUAACUACCCUCACAGUGUAACACAGAGAAAAGACACAAGAAAAGGAGGAAAUGGAGAUCAAAAUGUCAUUGCCGCUAUUUGAAUCUGUAGCUCAAGCCCCAUUCAAGGGAAGCCUCAUUUUCGACACAGGCUUGCUAUGGUUAAGGGCACACAGCUACAGCUCAAAGGCGGCAAGUGGAGAAAAUGAGAAUGAGGGGGCGUGAAGAGGAGGACUGCCCGUCUUUAUUUCGGUCGUAGAGUCACAGACACAUCAGAAGAAGGCUCUGACGUUUAAACCAGGAGGCAGGCCCCCGGAGCUCCUAGCCACCGGAGCUCCUAGAAGCCCACAGGGGCAUAGGAGGCACCACGUGAGAAGGACAGAGGGCAGCGACCUGGCUGCCUCUCAGAGAGAGGUCAUGUCGUUGAGAGUGUGGUCCAGUUCCUCGCUGAUAGCUUUGUACUUGAGCUUCUGAGCGUAUAACUCAUCUAGAGGGCGGAGGUCCCCGGGGAGACAGUUCAGAAGAAGAAGUACAGGGGACAGAAGGCAAGGGUCGGAAUGGAGUGCCACAGAUGAACCGCAGGAGGAAGAAAAAAAAAAUGUGAGCGAACAAAGCACAGACUAGGAGAAAGUCGUGUUCCAUGUGAAACAGAUGAAGAAAACCAAAGAUGUAUGGAGUGAUUUCUAAGCGGUUUGAGGUUCUGCAGGGGGAUUAGCCACAAUGAAGCUUCAAAACAGUGGUAACCAGAAGUGAUGGAGCUUCCCCCCACCAGUCCCCAUCCCCCAGUUUAUUUCGGAUUUCCAAUGACGUCACCCUGUCCAAAGGUCGUAUUUUGGAAUGGGGCAUUUUCCCUUAUAUGGGAACCUCACUUCCCCAAAAAAACAUUGGAACACAUGGUCUGAAGAAUGUGUCCUUUCUGGGUGGGAUGAGCAGUUUGGAAGAUUCCAUUUGAACCCCGAGAUUCUGGAAUUUCUGUGACCGAAUGUUAAACAUUGGAACUCUUGAAGAAAUUCUGGGAGAUGUAGACCCCAGACUUGCAUUAGAGUCUUUAUUGCAGUU